rnacentral:lncRNA from 1 species
CCAAGCCCAUGCGCUGUCCGCGUCCAUCCCCAUGUACACACUAGCAUUUCUGACCUCUUCUCGGAAAGAACUCUUCUCUCCAACAAGCUCGGCAAAUACAUUCCCUUCUUGCGAAGCACCCCCAGCCAUAGCAAUACCCAAGCUCCGCUACCUGUCUCCGCAAGGCGCGUUAUCCUCCUGUCCCUCCGUGGCUCCUGCGCCGCCAGGGCCUCCGGGGCCGCCGACCCAGCCGGCCUCGGGACGGAGGAUUCGGCCCGCGGCUCCGCGCAGCCCUCGGGGCGGUCGUGGGCGAGCCCCCCGAGCCCCGCACCCCAGCGCGGGAGCGGCGGGUCCGCGGCAGCGGCAGGGACCGAGGAUGUGGGCGGGGGGCUGCCGCAGGGAGCUGGGCGGGGGGGCCGCCAGUGCAUCCGCGGCUUUCCCCAUCGCCCGCUCGUCGCCUGGCGGAGCCAGGCACCGAAAACAAGAAACACUGAGAAAUCUCCCGUACACUCUGUUUUUACUCCAGACACACGAUUUACUGCUGCACGUUUGCUAUUCCCGCGGGGAACAACGCCCGUAUUGAUUUUGUUGUCUCCGACUGCUAUAUUUGUCUUGGAGAAAAGGUGUACGCAUAUAGAAAAGGUGUUGUUUUAUCGAAAUCUAAUAUUCAGCCGUCCGCGAAACGCGCACAAGCACUCUGAAAUAGCGCGGGGAAAGGACCGACGCGCAAUAAACGGCGCUGCUCCGGCCCUGCAGCGGGGCAGGUCUCGGGGUUGCACGCCGGCACUACCCAGGCCUCUCUAUCCCGUUUCCUCCACGGCACAUUUCUUUGGAUGCCCCCAGACCAGACGAUCGUUUUCUGUUGCGCCGUCUAGAACGGACGAUAGCUCUAAUGCCGUACCUCUGCUGGUCACGGACGGAGAGAGCCGCGGAGAGCGGGUCCCCGCGGGCUCCGUCCUGACUGCGGCUGCGGGCCGAGCCCGACGCGGGCGAGCUCGUCUCCCGGCCGGAGCCCGCGAGGCACUCGUCUCCGCAGCACUCGGCCAGCGGCAGCCCAGGUCGUUCCGCCGCGGACGGGGAGCAGAGGGGGCCUCGCGGGAGUCCCGAGAGGAAACCACUGUGCGUGGCUCCCGGGCUGGGACCGGGCAGCUCCGCUGCGCGCCCCGAUUCCGAUUCGCAGCGGCGAUUCCCGGGGAAGAGGAAAGCUUCCGGCAGCCGGGGUCCCCGCACGUCGCCCUGCGGUGCUGUGCCGGUCACAUCGCGGCGGCGCGGGCCCUCGAGAUCCCCCCGCCAUCCGGUCGGCGCGACGGGCACACGGCGGCCCGGGCUGGGGACGGCAUGGGCAGCAGCCUGAGCCCCACGGGGAGAUGCCCGUAA